AGCGAACGCUGGCGGCAGGCCUAACACAUGCAAGUCGAACGAACCUUUCGGGGUUAGUGGCGGACGGGUGAGUAACACGUGGGAACGUGCCUUUAGGUUCGGAAUAACUCAGGGAAACUUGUGCUAAUACCGAAUGUGCCCUUCGGGGGAAAGAUUUAUCGCCUUUAGAGCGGCCCGCGUCUGAUUAGCUAGUUGGUUGAGGUAAUGGCUCACCAAGGCGACGAUCAGUAGCUGGUCUGAGAGGAUGAUCAGCCACAUUGGGACUGAGACACGGUCCAAACUCCUACGUGAGGCAGCAGUGGGGAAUCUUGCGCAAUGGGCGAAAGCCUGACGCAGCCAUGCCGCGUGAAUGAUGAAGGUCUUAGGAUUGUAAAAUUCUUUCACCGGGGACGAUAAUGACGGUACCCGGAGAAGAAGCCCCGGCUAACUUCGUG
rnacentral:rRNA from 1 species